UACGGGGGGGGGCAAGCGUUGUUCGGAAUUACUGGGCGUAAAGGGCUCGUAGGCGGCCAACUAAGUCAGACGUGAAAUCCCUCGGCUUAACCGGGGAACUGCGUCUGAUACUGGAUGGCUUGAGAUUGGGAGAGGGAUGCGGAAUUCCAGGUGUAGCGGUGAAAUUCGUAGAUAUUGGGAAGAACACCGGUGGCGAAGGCGGCGACCUGGUCCGAGACUGACGCUGAGGCGCGAAAGCGUGGGGAGCAAACAGG
rnacentral:rRNA from 1 species